rnacentral:pre_miRNA from 7 species
AAUAAGGCAAUCUAUGACUCUGAUGGACAUGGUUCUGAAAGACCCCCGAAGGGAGACCCUCACUCAAGCCUCGGGACAGCCGCGGACCCAAGAAGACACUGAGACCG